UUUUUUUUUUUUUUUUUUUUUUUUUCUUGUUCAAUAUUUCUUUGGCUACUCAGGGUCUCUUGUAUAUUUAAAAUUAUACAAAUUUUAAAUAUUUUGUUCUAGUUCUGUGAAGAAUGUCCUUGUUAAUUUGAUAGGGAUUGCUGUGAAUUUGUAGAUUGCCUUUGAGUAGUAUAUUCAUUUUGACAAUAUUGAUUCUGCCAAUCCAAGAGCAUGGUAUGUAUUUCCAUCUAUUUGUGUCUUCCUUGAUUUAUUUCAUCAGUAUCUUAUAGUUUUCAGAGUACAGGUCUUUUUUCUCUUUAGGUAGGUUUAUUCCUAGGUAUUUUAUUCUUUUUAAUGCAAUGGUUAAUGGGAUUGUUUCCCUACUAUGUCUUUCUGCUCUUUCAUUGUUAGUAUAUAGAAAUGCCAUUGAUUUCUGUGUAUUAAUUUUGUAUUCUGUGAAUUUACCAAAUUCAUUGAUGAGAUGAUGAGCUGUAAUAGUUUUCUGGUGUUGUCUUUAGGAUUUUCUAGGUAUAGAAUCACAACAUCUGCAAACAGUGAUAGUUUUACUUCUUCUCUUCCAAUUUGGAUUCCUUUCAUUUGUUUUCUUCUCUGAUAGCCAUGGCUAGGACUUCCAAAACAAUGUUGAAUUAACAUUGAUGAAAGAGGACAUCCUUGUCUUGUUCCUGAUCUUAGUGCAAAUGCUUUCAGUUUGUCACCAUUCAGAAUGAUGUUAGCCAUGUGUUUGUCAUAAAUGGCUUUUAUUGUAUUGAGGUAGUUCCCUUCUGUAUCCAUUCUCUGGAGAGUUUUUAUCAGGAAGGUGUGUUGAAUUUUGUCAGAAUCUUUUUCUUCACCUGUUGAGAUGAUGCAGAAUAUGCUUUUUAUUUUUAAGUUUGUUAAUGUGGUGUAUCACGUUGAUAGAUUUGUGGAUAAUGAAGAAUCCUUGUUUCCCUGGGAUAAAUCCUACUUGCUCAUGGUGGAUGACCUUUUAAAUGCAUAUUUGUAUGUGGCUUGCUCAUAUUUUGUGGAUGAUUUUUGCAUCUAUGUUCAUCAGUGAUAUUGACCUGUAAUUUUUGUGUGGUAUCUUUGUCUGGUUUUGGUAUCAGGGUAAUGGUGGCUUCAUAAAAUGAGCUUGGGAGUAUUCCCUUCUCUGUAAUUUUCUGGAAAAGUUUCAGAAGAAGAGGUGUUAACUCUUUUGGUAGAACUCAACUUUGAAACUGUCAGGUCCUGGACUUUGGUUUUUUGGAAGUUUCUAAAUCGCAUUUUCAAUUUUAGCACUUGUAAUCGGUCUAUUCAUAUUUUCUGUUUCUUCUGGGUUCAGUCUCAGUAGGUGGUACCUUUUUAAGAAUCUGUGCAUUUCUUCUAAGUUGUCUGUUUUACUGGCAUACAUCUGCUCAUAGUAGUCUCACAUGAUUGCUUUUCUGCAGUGUCAGUUGUAACUUUUCCUUUUUCAUUUCUAAUUUUAUUGAUUUGAAACCUCUCCCUUUCUUUUUCUUGAUGAGUCUGGCUAAUGGUUUAUCAAUUUUUGGGGGGAUCUUUUCAAAGAAACCACUUUUGGUUUCAUUGAUCUUCUCAAUUGUUUUCUUUGUCUCUGUUAUUAAUUUCUGCUCUAAUCUUUAUGUUUUCUUUCUCUCUACUAAUUUUGGGCUUUGUUCUUCCUUCUCUAGAUGUUUAAGGUAUAAGGUUAGGUUGUUUAUUUGAGGUUUUUUGCUCCUUUCCUGAGAUAAGCUUGUAUUUCUGUAAAUUCCCUCUCAGAACUGCUUUUUCUGUGUUCCAUAGGUUUUGGAUUGUUGUAUCUUCAUUGUCAUUUGUCUCUACAUAUCUUUUAAUUACCUCUUUGAGUUCUUCAAUGAUCCAUUGGUUGUUUCGUAGCAUAUUGUUUAACUUCUAAGAGUUUGUGUUUUUUGCUGUUUUUUUUUUUUUUUUUUUCCUUGUAGUUGGUAUACAGUCUCAUGGCAUUGUGAUCAGGGAAAAUGCUUCAAAUAAUUUCAAUUUUUAAAAAUUUACCCAAGGCAUGAUCUGUGGCCCAAGAUGUGAUCUAUUCUGUUCUGUGUGCACUUAAGAAGAAAGUAUAUUCUACCACUUUGGUGUGAAAAGUUCUUUAGAUAUCAAUAAAGUCUAUUUGGUCUAGGGUAUCAUUUAAGGCCUGUGUUUCCUUGUUCAUUUUCUGUAUGGAUGAUCUGUCCAUUGCUGUAAGUGGGGUGUUAAAUUCCCCCACUAUUACUGUGUUACUGUCAAUUUCCCCUUUUAUAGCUGUUCAUAGUUGCCUUAUAUAUUGCGAUGCUUCUAUGUUGGGUGCAUAUAUAUUUGCAAUUGUUAAUUCUUGUUCUUGUAUGGAUCCUUUGAUUGUUAUGUAAUAUCCUUCUUUGUCUCUUGUGACCUUUAUUUUAAAAUCUAUUUUGUCUGAUAUGAGUAUGGCUAUUCCUGCUCUUCUAUAAUUUUCAUUUCUGUGCAAUAUUUUCUUCCAUCCCCUCAUUUUAAGUCUAUAUGUGUCCUUAGAUCUGAGGUGGGUCUACUAUAUCUAGACAGCAUAUAGAUGGGUCUUGUUUUGAAUCCAUUUAGCUAGACUUUUUCUUUUGGUUGGAGUAUUUAAUCUGUUUAAAUUCAAUGUAAUUAUGGAUAAGUAUGUACUUACCAUUAUUUACUUAGUUUUUUUGGAUUGUUAUUUUAGUUCUUUUUUCUUCCCUUCCUCUUUUUGUUGUCUUCUCUUGCUAUUUGUUUCCCAUAUUUAAUGUCAUGUUUGGCUUGUUUUUUCUUUUUUAUGCAUGUGACCAUUAUAGUUAUUUGAUUUGUGGUUCCCCUCAUAUUUUGAUAUAUCCAUCUCUAUGUGUGCAGAAUUAUUUCUGCUUGUUGGUCUCUUAGUUUCAAAUGAAUUUUCAAUGUUCUACAUUUGUCCUCUCUUCUCCUGCUUGCUAGUUUAGAUAUCAUAUUUGUCAAUAGGUGAUUUCCUAAUUUUAAAUUAUCUUUGCCUUUACCAGUGAGUUUUUCAUUUAUAUUCUUUUUUCAAAUUGUGGUUUUGCCUUUUCUGCGUCAGGAAGUUCGUUUAGUAAUUGUAGAGUUGGUUUGGAGGUGCUGAGUUCUCUUAGCUUUUGCUUGUCUAUAAAGCUUUUUGAUCUCUCCCUCAAAUCUGAAUGAAAGCUUUGCUGGGUAUUCUUGGUUCUAGGUUUCUCCUCUUCAUCACCUCAAAUAUAUUUUGCCACUCCCUCCUGGCUUGUAGAGUUUCUGCUGAAAGCUCAGCUGUUAUUCUUUUUUUUUUUUUUCUUUGUCCUUUGUAUUUUUAGGGCUUCCCCCCUGGAAUAUGGAAGCUUCAAGGCUAGGUGCUGAAUUGGAGCUACAGCUGCUGGCCUACACCUCAGACACAGCAAUGUGGGAUCCGAGCUGCAUCUGGGACCUACCCCAUAGCUCAUGGCAAUGCCAGAUUCUCAACCCACUGCACAAGGCCAGGGAUCAAAUCUGAUUCCUCAUGGACACUAGUUGGGUUAGUUAACCUCUGAGCCAUGACUGGAAUUUCAAUCAGCUGUUAUUUUUAUGGGGGAGUCCCUUAUGUGUCAUUUGCUGCUUUUCCCUGGUGGAUCUGAAUAUUUUUUCUUUGAACUUAAUUUUUGUCAAUUCUAUUCUAUUCUGUUCUAUUCAGUUCUCUUCUGUUCUAUUCGCUUCUGUUCUAUUCUAUUCUCCUGGAACCCCUGUGAUGAGAAUUUUGGUAUAUUUAAUGUUGUCCCAGAGGUCUAUUAGACUCUCUUCAGUUUUUUUCAUUCUUUUUUCUUUAUUCUUUUCUGUAGCAGUGAUUUACACCACUGUCUCUUCCACUUCAUUUAUUUGUCCUUCUGCCUCCAAUAAUCUAUUAUUUGUUCCUUCUAGGUUACUUUUCAUUUCAACUAUUGAACUCUUCAUCUUUCUCUUUAAAUCCUCUAGAUCUUAAUUAAACAUUUAUUUUAAGUUCUCCAUCUGUGUCUCCAUUCUUUUUCCAAGAUCUAGGAUCAUUUUUAUAAUUAUCACUCUGAAUUCUUUUUCAGGUAAAUUUCCUGUCUCCUCAUUAUUUAGGGGUUUUUGCAGGUUUCUGUCUUGUUCCUUUGUCUGAAAGCUACUUCUUUAUCAUCUCCUAGUGUCUACCUUUCUGUUAAUCAUCCCCUUGACAGUUGGUAUGUGGAUGUUGAAGAAGGUGCCCAGUAAUGGAGUUCUCAGGGGUGGAGAAGUUCACAUGUACCCAGAGCAUGUGUUAGGAACAACUGUAUCUCCUCUAGCUAGGGGGCUGCUAAGGAUAGGGAUGGGUUCUGUGAGGCAGGUGGCAGUAUUUCACCAUUCACAAGAUUGCUUUUGUAGCUUGCAGGAGUAGCAGUGUCUCUUACAGGCCAUCCUGCUACCAGGUAGGUUUGAGGGCUAUUUUUUGUAGCUUACAACAUCAGCAGUUUCCUCUGCUUCCUCUCCCUUUAUGGGGUAGGCUCUAAGGACUGCUCUCUAUAGGUACAGGAACAGGUACUGCUGUUCUGCCAGCUUUCCCCUUUCUUGGCCACUCUAGGGAUCUCUCUCUACAGCCUCAAAGGAUGGAGUCCUUCUCCCCUAAUUGUUGCUCACAGGCUCUCUCUGAAGCUAAAGAAUGUGUGUUUCUGGUGGUCCCGACCCCUACCUUACUUCUGGUAUGAGUGCUCUCUGUAGCCCUGCAGAUUGGAAUGUGGGUUAAUGGGCCUCCCCUGGCUCCCUUGGUGUGGAACAAGUGCCGCUGAUGUGAACCUUCACAGGGCUGCUGGUAGGAGCCCUGUAUCUUGGGCUUUUCUCUGAUUGGGCAGCCCACAGCUCUGUUAGGGAGUGGGCACCAGUAGCCCUUUCAUGGGAAUGGGUGCUGCCACCAGCUUCUCUUCUGGUGCUGAUGGGGUGCCACAGGCACAAGCCUCUGCAG
ensembl:lncRNA